UACAUAGGUCCCAAGCGUUAUCCGGAAUUACUGGGCGUAAAGCGUCUGCAGGUUGAAAAGUGUGUGAGAUGUGAAAGACCGGGGCUCAACCCCGCGUUUGUGUCUCAAACUGCUUUUCUCGAGUGAGCAAGAGGUAUGCGGAAUUUAUGGAGUAGGAGUGCAAUCCGUUGACACCAUAAAGAACACCAAAAGCGAAGGCAGCAUACUGGGGCUCUACUGACACUCAGAGACGAAAGCGUGGGGAGCGAAAGGG
rnacentral:rRNA from 1 species